CCUACGGGGGGCUGCAGUGAGGAAUAUUGGUCAAUGGGCGCAAGCCUGAACCAGCCAUCCCGCGUGCAGGAUGACGGCCCUAUGGGUUGUAAACUGCUUUUGUUCAGGAAGAAAAAUCUCUACGAGUAGGGAACUGCCGGUACUGUACGAAUAAGCAUCGGCUAACUCCGUGCCAGCAGCCGCGGUAAUACGGAGGAUGCAAGCGUUAUCCGGAUUCAUGGGGUUUAAAGGGUGUCUAGAAGGCUCUUUUGAAAUCCUGCCGCUUAACGGUAGAAUUGCCAUUGAUACUGAAGAGCUUGAGUACAGUUGAGGUAAGCGGAAUGUGUAGUGUAGCGGUGAAAUGCUUAGAUAUUACACAGAACACCGAUUGCGAAGGCAGCUUACUAAACUGCAACUGACGCUGAUGCACGAAAGCGUGGGGAGCGAACAGGAUUAGAUACCCCGGUAGUC
rnacentral:rRNA from 1 species